rnacentral:rRNA from 1 species
AAACUUUCAACAACGGAUCUCUUGGUUCCAGCAUCGAUGAAGAACGCAGCGAAAUGCGAUAAGUAAUGUGAAUUGCAGAAUUCCGUGAAUCAUCGAAUCUUUGAACGCACAUUGCGCCCUCUGGGUAUUCCGGGGGGCAUGCCUGUCCGAGCGUCAUUGCAACCCUCAAGCGCGGCUU